rnacentral:rRNA from 1 species
UACGAAGGGGGCUAGCGUUGUUCGGAAUCAUUGGGCGUAAAGCGUCCGCAGGUGGCUGUGUAAGUCUGCUGUUAAAGAGUGAGGCUCAACCUCAUAAAGGCAGUGGAAACUACAUGGCUAGAGUGCGUUCGGGGCAGAGGGAAUUCCUGGUGUAGCGGUGAAAUGCGUAGAGAUCAGGAAGAACACCGGUGGCGAAAGCGCUCUGCUAGGCCGCAACUGACACUGAGGGACGAAAGCUAGGGGAGCGAAUGGG